rnacentral:rRNA from 1 species
GAUGAACGCUGGCGGCGUGCCUAAUACAUGCAAGUCGAGCGAACGGACGAGAAGCUUGCUUCUCUGAUGUUAGCGGCGGACGGGUGAGUAACACGUGGAUAACCUACCUAUAAGACUGGGAUAACUUCGGGAAACCGGAGCUAAUACCGGAUAAUAUUUUGAACCGCAUGGUUCAAAAGUGAAAGACGGUCUUGCUGUCACUUAUAGAUGGAUCCGCGCUGCAUUAGCUAGUUGGUAAGGUAACGGCUUACCAAGGCAACGAUGCAUAGCCGACCUGAGAGGGGGACCGCCAACAUGGAAACUGAGCCACGGUCCAGACCCCUACGGGGGGCACAAGGGGGGAAUUUUCGGCAAGGGGCGAAAGCCUAAGGGAGCAACGCCGCGGGAGUGAGGAAGGUCUCCGGAUCGUAAAACUCUUUUUUUAGGGAAGAAAAAUUGUGUAAGUAACUGUGCAAAUUUUGACGGUACCAAAUCAAAAAGCCCCGGCUAACUACGU